rnacentral:rRNA from 1 species
AUAGCUAGUUGCAUCAUUGUAAAUAUGAUGCAAGAUUGACUAUGUUGAAUAAAAUUCUAGGUAGAGUUAUGAUAAUGACAUUUUCUGCCUAUGUGUCUUGACCAAAUUACGUGCCAGCAGUCGCGGUAAUACGUAGAAGACUAGUGUUAUUCAUGUUUAAUCGGUUUAAAGGGUACCUAGACGGCAGAUCAAGCUUUCCGAGCAGAAAAAAAAAGAAAAGGACUAAUCUGCUAGAGUUACUUACGAGGGGGUUUUAAAGUACUACUGGUGUAGAGAUGAAAUUCUGUCAUACCUCUUUUCGAAAGAAAAAUAAUGGCACAGGUAUAGGCGAAGGCAUCCCCUUAUGUGAUAACUGACGUUGAGGGACGAAGGCUUUAUAUAACGAACAGGAUUAGAUACCCCAGUAGUGGAAGCAGUAAAUGAUGAAUGUCAUAGAUUAGUAGUUUAGUUUAUUCUAUAAAUGAAAGUGUAAGCAUUCCACCUCAUGAGUAAUUUGGCAACAUUGGAAUUGAAAUCAUUAGACCGUUUCUGAAACCAGUAGUGAAGUAUGUUGUUUAAUUUGAUGAUCCGCAAAAAACCUUACCACAAUUUGAAUAUUUAUAUUAUGUUUUUUUUUUAUUAAUUUUCUUGUAGUAAAGAGGCAAGUUAAUAAACAGGCAAUAAGAUAUAUUUACAAGCGUUGCACGGCUGUCUUCAGUUAAUGUCGCGAGACUUUGGUUAGAUCCAUUAAAUUAACGUAAACCCUUACUUUAUUUUU